rnacentral:rRNA from 1 species
GAUGAACGCUGGCGGCGUGCCUAAUACAUGCAAGUCGAGCGAACAGACGAGGAGCUUGCUCCUCUGACGUUAGCGGCGGACGGGUGAGUAACACGUGGAUAACCUACCUAUAAGACUGGGAUAACUUCGGGAAACCGGAGCUAAUACCGGAUAAUAUAUUGAACCGCAUGGUUCAAUAGUGAAAGACGGUUUUGCUGUCACUUAUAGAUGGAUCCGCGCCGCAUUAGCUAGUUGGUACGGUAACGGCUUACCAAGGCAACGAUGCGUAGCCGACCUGAGAGGGUGAUCGGCCACACUGGAACGGAGACACGGUCCAGACUCCUACGGGAGGCAGCAGUAGGGAAUCUUCCGCAAUGGGCGAAAGCCUGACGGAGCAACGCCGCGUGAGUGAUGAAGGUCUUCGGAUCGUAAAACUCUGUUAUUAGGGAAGAACAAAUGUGUAAGUAACUAUGCACGUCUUGACGGUACCUAAUCAGAAAGCCACGGCUAACUACGUG